rnacentral:snoRNA from 1 species
UGAGUAUGUUAAAUUGAGUGUCAAUAAGAAUUCCCCAAGAGUGGCUUAUGGGAACAUAGGGUUCAGCCCAGUGGUGUACAGUCCCUUUCCACAAUGUUGGAGAUGAAGCUGGGCUUCGAGUCUGUGCCUGCAUGUUCCUCCGACUUCUCAGAGUCCUGUGGAGGAUGACUGAGGAGACAAAUCAUGAAGGAAACAGUC